rnacentral:lncRNA from 1 species
ACUUAUUAACAUCAGGAUCAAAUUGAAUGCUUUCUUCUAAUUACUAUUAGAUCUAAUUCUAAUUCUUUUAAUAUGGAUUUCAGAGAGUGAUCAAUUAUGGAGCUGUCCGAGUGGUCGUUCCAGGCAAUUUCCCAAUAGGUUGUAUGCCAAUCUAUCUCACAGCAUUCCAAACAAACAACUCGGCUGCUUACGAUGAGUAUCACUGCUUGAAACACCUAAACAACUUCUCAAUCUAUCACAACGAUCAGUUAAAGCAGGCCAUUGAAGAGUUGAAGAGAGAGUACCCUAAUGCAGUUAUUGUCUAUGGCGAUUACUACAAUGCCUUCGAGUGGCUUUUCCGCAGAGCUUCACAUCUAGGUGAGUCCAUUUAAAAAAUGCUUUAGAACUCGAGAUUGAUUCAUUAAUAAUGAUAAACGAUGCAUCAUUUGGAUGAAAGGAUUGAAACAAAAUGGGUUCAGGGUUGAACUUUAUGAAAAUAUCUGAAGGUCAGUUAUUAGCGUAGGUGGAGGAUUGAAGAUGUAUUUUAUUAAGAUUAAUGAACAUAAGAUGAUUAAUGGAGGAAUUUCAAGAGAACUGAGUCACAAAAUCAUUUCAAAUCUGUCAAUCCAAAGCUAUUAAAUCCGCUCUUGAAAUGUAGACCGACCCCCUGGAACACGAAUCUGAAAUAUGGUUGAAAUUCUUAAAUAAGUGAUACCAAAUUCAUUAAUUUUAAAUUCAAAAUCCAAAAGCAACCUAAAAGUCUCACUUUGUUACCUGCAGGAUUUGACGGUGAAUCUGCUCAGAAAGCUUGCUGUGGGACAGGAGGUGACUACACUUUCAGCCUUGCAAGAUGUGUGGGCACCGGAGUCUCCAGUGUGCCGAACCUAAUCAAGUCAUCAGAUGGAUGGAGUCAUCUGACAGAAGCAGGUAUAAGAUCAGGCGGAUGGCUCAUCCAGACAUCUGCCCAAAACUUCAGUGCUCUGUUUAACUUAAUUUUGAAGUAUUAGUUUUACCAUAGAGAUAGCAAUUAGAAAAUACUUAUUCCUUAAGCAAGUCCAAUUGUGUUUUUAAGUCUUUCGUAGGUUUGUUAAAGAGUUGCUACUGAAAUUUUUAUAGAUGGAUUUUGUUUUGAAUAUAUUUAGAUUGCAGUGUUACAUAGAUGAAUACACAAAUUAGGGUUGCAGAUUCUCAUUUGAAUAGGACUACAAAUAUUUUUAUAACUGAAAGUUGUACCCUCCAAUGUGAAGAUUCCUCACAAGUACAUAGAAAAACCCCAUUUCCUUUUGUUCUUCAAAGUCAUAGAUAGCACUUGUGUCUGGUCUUUUCGGAUUUCUUAAGCUUGCUAAUUAAAUGUGUAAGAUGCUUGGACUUUGGCACUAGAUGAAUGUCAUAUGUCAUCAAAUAUUUCCUAAUGUUUCUUUGAUGCAUACAUAACAAGAUAAUACCCUCGAACUUUCCUAAUGUAAUUUCACCAUUAUAAUCAAACACAAACAGUACAUCUAGCUAGCUAGCUAGUAAAUUAUUUUGUCUUUCCGGAAACCUUUCUAUGUCAAUUUCAUCAAGCUAUUGAUUCAAUGAUCAAGUCGCCAUCUUCAUUCUUCAAAACAGAACUAGCUCAUGGACUCAAACAUUUUACAAAGAAAUUGAGUCUGUUAGGACUGAAUGAUUUUUCUAAACAAGCUUACCAAUUAUAGAACUAGGCCCGUUGGUAUGUGAAUCGAAACAAGGAGUGUGUUAACUUUGAUGCAUGGAAAAACAUUUGUAAAGAUAUGUGUAUAUAGUUUUAAAGAUUAAAUUGAGCUUAGAUACCAACAGGGGUUGGUGCAGCGGUAGAAACUCAGACUUGGUGGGACAAGGCAUGGGUUCGAGUCACCGCAGCUUCCUGUUGGGACUAAACCUACUCCUAUCACCAUCCGUGAUCAGUGGGCAAUGCUCCCUAACGGAGGUGACUGGGUACCAUACCAGUGCUGUUCUCUCCUGAGGUUUGUAUUUAAUUCAUAUUCUCUCCUCAUCUUCUAAAAAUUACAUUAACCUCUCCUGUUAGUAUGCGUCCCUCAACCAAAGUAACGAAGAAAAUAAAUUUCCAUUAUUACCCCUGCAUAAUCUAAUAAGUAGCCUUCUUUCUUUUUUCUAACCCUAUAAUCUCUCUCUCUACCAUAGAACUACUCCUAACUGACUAACUCAAAACCCUCCUCCAUCUCUCUCUCUUAUAGAACUCAAUAUAAAUGCACUUUGGGUGAUUGGGACUCCAGUGAGUGGUUGGAAAGCCUUGGCAUGGCUAUUGGAAGAAAUGAGCUGUGAGAGAAGUGUUAGGAGUAGAUUAAACGAAACCAUGGUUAUGGGACUCGUUGCGCGGCGGAUCAUGAUUCCGCUUUGGGGGAGCGUGGUGGUGUAUGGUGGUCGACCUACAUCUAUAACCUUAGCGCCCAACCACCACUACCCAAUACCCUUACGCAGCCCGUCGUCCCUCUCGCCACAACAAGCCAAAUUCGAACUCCAUGUUGGAAAAUAUAUGGGUUUG